UUAUAUCCAAGGCACCUCCAUGGAGGGCCCCAUUCCUUCAAACAUAUCCCUGUUGACAAACUUAACUGAACUGAUGAUAUCUGACUUGAACGGAUCAAGCAGUAGCUUCCCUAAUUUGAAGGAUUGAAAGUUUUGAAGUAUUUGGUGCUGAGAAAUUGCUUAAUCAGUGGUUCAAUCCCAGACUAUAUUUUAACAACUGAAAACUUGAAAAGAAU